rnacentral:ncRNA from 1 species
AUUAAGUUUGAUUUUGUCUUAAAAAUUAAUUUUUUGCAGAUAUUAUACGUUUUAUUUUUAAUAAAAGUUUUAUCAGUAAUAAAUAUUUUUAUAUUGUUUUACAAUUAAGUUAUGCAUUGAUUUUAGAAAAAUAUUGUGCCAGCAUUCGCGGUUAAACAAUUUAAGAAAAUUAAUUUCUUUAGUUUUAAUUUUUAUUUUUGAAUUAAAAAUUUAUUUACUUAAGUGAAAUUUUUAUUUAAGUUAAUUUCUUGAUUAAAUUUUAGUAAAUCUUUCUUAGAAACCAGGAUUAGAUACCCUGUUAUUUUAUAUUUAAUUUUUUAUACUUUAACAUUAAUAGUUAUUUUCUAUAAAAUUUGAAUAAUUUGGCGGUAAAUUAUUAUUAGGGGAACCUGUUCUUUAAUUGAUAAACCACGAUAGGUUUUACUUAAAGUAUAUUUGUAUACCUCUAUAUUUGGAGUAUUUUUUUUAGAAUAUACUUUUUUUAUUUAAUUAUUUUAUGUUAGGUCAAGGUGCAGUUAUUUUUAAGAAAGCGUGGGUUACUUUAAAUUUUAAUAUAUAGGAAAAUUAAUUUUUAAAUUUAUUUGAAUUAGGAUUUGAUAGUAAUUUAAAAUAAUUAUUUUAUUUGAAUAAUUAUUUAAUUUAUGCACAUAUUGCCCGUCACUCUCAUUUAAAUUGAGAUAAGUCGUAACAAAGUAAUUGUACUGGAAAGUGUAAUUAGAAUAAAG